rnacentral:tRNA from 1 species
AGGGGUAUAGCCAAGUUGGUAAGGCACAAGAUUUUGAUUCUUGCAUCCGUAGGUUCGAGUCCUGCUACCCCUGCCA